GGAAUUUUCCGCAAUGGGCGAAAGCCUGACGGAGCAACGCCGCGUGAGGGAUGAAGGCCUCUGGGCUGUAAACCUCUUUUCUCAAGGAAGAAGAUCUGACGAUACUUAGGAAUAAGCCACGGCUAAUUCCGUGCCAGCAGCCGCGGUAAUACGGGAGUGGCAAGCGUUAUCCGGAAUUAUUGGGCGUAAAGCGUCCGCAGGCGGCCCUUCAAGUCUGCUGUUAAAAAGUGGAGCUUAACUCCAUCAUGGCAGUGGAAACUGUUGGGCUUGAGUGUGGUAGGGGCAGAGGGAAUUCCCGGUGUAGCGGUGAAAUGCGUAGAUAUCGGGAAGAACACCAGUGGCGAAGGCGCUCUGCUGGGCCAUCACUGACGCUCAUGGACGAUAGCCAGGGGAGCGAAAGGGAUUAGAUACCCCAGUAGUC
rnacentral:rRNA from 1 species